GGGUCUCCAAUGGCCUCUUCUUUACUCACUACUCUAAUGGCAAUACUCUCUCUAAAUUUUAUAUCUCAAAUCUCAGCUAACAACUCGGUCCACUCAUCUUCACCACCACCACCAAAGUUUCCUUACCAUUACUCAUAUCCACCCCCACCUCCCAAAAAACCCUACAAAUAUCCAUCACCUCCACCACAAAUAUAUAAGUACAAGUCUCCUCCACCACCGCUACCAAAGAAGCCCUACAAAUAUCCAUCACCUCCACCACCAAUAUAUAUGUACAAGUCACCUCCGCCACCGAUAUAUAAGUACAAGUCUCUUCCACCACCGCCACCAAAGAAGCCCUACAAAUAUCCGUCACCUCCACCACCAGUUUACAAGUACAAGUCUCCUCCGUCACCAUCACCAAAGAAGACCUACAAAUAUCCAUCACCUCCACCACCAGUUUACAAGUACAAGUCGUCACCCCCACCUUAUAAGUACCCAUCUCCACAACAACCUCUACAACUAUCGCAACAAACUACCAAUUACUAUUACAAGUCACCACCACCGCCACAUAGGAAGCCCUAGAAAUACCAAUUUCCUCCACCACCACCUAAGAAGCAAUACAAGUAUAAUUCAUCUCAACCACCACCGGUCUACAAGUACAAGUCAUUUCCUCGCCCUCACCACUACUAAAUAGUUAGUAGUAUAG
rnacentral:lncRNA from 1 species